rnacentral:rRNA from 1 species
GAUGAACGCUGGCGGCGUGCUUAACACAUGCAAGUCGAACGGAAAGGCCCAAGCUUGCUUGGGUACUCGAGUGGCGAACGGGUGAGUAACACGUGGGUGAUCUGCCCUGCACUUCGGGAUAAGCCUGGGAAACUGGGUCUAAUACCGGAUAGGACGAUGGUUUGGAUGCCAUUGUGGAAAGUUUUUUCGGUGUGGGAUGAGCUCGCGGCCUAUCAGCUUGUUGGUGGGGUAAUGGCCUACCAAGGCGUCGACGGGUAGCCGGCCUGAGAGGGUGUACGGCCACAUUGUGACUGAGAUACGGCCCAGACUCCUACGGGGGGCAGCAGUGGGGAAUAUUGCACAAUGUGCGCAAGCCUGAUGCAGCGACGCCGCGUGGGGGAUGACGGCCUUCGGGUUGUAAACUCCUUUCGCUAGGGACGAAGCGUUUUUGUGACGGUACCUGGAGAAGAAGCACCGGCUAACUACGUG